CCACCCUGACCUGGGCAGAGUGGCAUCUGGUUGGUGGUGUCCAUCUUGCAUCAGUCAGGGACAAAGCAACCCCUUGUUCAUCUCAGCUUGGUUUCUGGCCUGUGCCCAUGCCUUGGACAAACAG
ensembl:snoRNA